UCCAAUGCUAUCCCAAAAGUCC
rnacentral:piRNA from 1 species